GCCUGGGUGGCUCAGUGGUUGAGCCUCUGACUUAGGCUCAGGUCAUGAUUCUGAGGUCCUGGGAUCAAGUCCCACAUCGGGCU
rnacentral:tRNA from 1 species